UGUGGCAGAUACGAGGAGACAGCACAGAUUGCUCUCAACAGUAAAAGGGUCCAGGCAGAAAACUGUUAUCUAAUGUGACUCCUCGGAUCUCUGUCUGUUGGUGGUCAUCCCCACACAAACCUAGCGAUCAGAGAUGAAUAGCAGCAUGCCAAAGUACUGCAUUUUCCAGAAGGACGAGGGUUAAUUCUUUAAAUAUCAAUAAGCAAGUAAAAGUUGUUUCCUGUGUUAGAGAGAGACCAGAGUCUUAUGCGGAUUCCAUGGAGAAGAUGUAAGUAAGGAUCCUAAAGAAUGCCAGAUAUCCAGACACAAAUUUCACAGUUAUCUGGCUCAAGUGCAUAUAAGA